rnacentral:rRNA from 1 species
UGCGAGUCGAGCGUCUCUAGCUAUGUUGAGACGCGGCAGACGGCUCAGUAACACGUGGCUAACCUACCCUCAGGACAAGGACAAACCCGGGAAACUGGGGCUAAUACUUGAUAGGCGAAGAUGCCUGGAAUGGUUCUUCACUCAAAGGAUUUGGAAACAUGCUUCCAAAUCGCCUGGGGAUGGGGCCGCGUCCGAUCAGGUUGUUGGUGAGGUAAUGGCUCACCAAGCCGAUAACCGGUACGGGCCGUGAGAGCGGUAGCCCGGAGAUGGGUACUGAGACAAGGACCCAGGCCCUACGGGGCGCAGCAGUCGCGAAAACUCCGCAAUGCACGAAAGUGUGACGGGGCUACCCCGAGUGCCAUCCGCUGAGGAUGGCUUUUCCUUGGUAUAACUAGCCAGGGGAAUAAGGAGAGGGCAAGACUGGUGUCAGCCGCCGCGGUAAUACCAGCUCUCCGAGUGGUAAGGAUGAUUAUUGGGCUUAAAGCGUCCGUAGCCGGCUUAGCAAGUCUCCUGUUAAACUCAGCGACCUAAUCGUUGAAUCGCGGGAGAUACUAUUAGGCUAGGAGGCGGGAGAGGUCGACGGUACUUCUGGGGUAGGGGUGAAAUCCUAUAAUCCCGGGAGGACCACCAGUGGCGAAGGCUGUCGACUAGAACGCGCUCGACGGUGAGGGACGAAAGCUGGGGGAGCGAACCGGAUUAGAUACCCGGGUAGUCCCAGCUGUAAACGAUGCGGGCUAGGUGUUGGGGUGGCUACGGGCCACUUCAGUGCCGCAGGGAAGCCGUUAAGCCCGCCGCCUGGGGAGUACGGCCGCAAGGCUGAAACUUAA